UCCCUGGUGGUCCAGUGGUUAAGACACUGUGUUUCCAAUGCAGGGGGCAGGGGUUCAGUCCCUGGUCAGGGAA
rnacentral:tRNA from 1 species